UCUUCUUUAUGAUGAGAUACCAUUAGUUAUCCCUGUCUGAAUUAUAACUCUUGUGUUAUAACAACUGUUGAGAAAAAACAACUCUGAAAAAAAA
rfam:Penicillium camemberti str. FM013